GUACACGCUGUGACUAGCAUAUCAAUAAGCGGAGGAAAAGAAACUAACAAGGAAUUCCCCUAGUAACGGCGAGUGAAGCGGGAAGAGCUCAAAUUUGAAAUCUUAAAGGGUUUCCCUUUACGAAUUGUAGUUUACAAGAAGUGUUUUCUGUUGAGGUUUUGGUAAAAGUUCUUUGGAAUAGGACAUCAUAGAGGGUGAGAAUCCCGUAUUUGACCUUUACUUUCAACUUUGUGAUACACUUUCAAAGAGUCGGAUUGUUUGGGAAUGCAGUCCAAAAUGGGUGGUAAAUUUCAUCUAAAGCUAAAUAUUGGCGAGAGACCGAUAGCGAACAAGUACCGUGAGGGAAAGAUGAAAAGAACUUUGAAAAGAGAGUUAAACAGUACGUGAAAUUGUCAAAAGGGGAAGCGUUUGACACCAGUGUUGUUUUUCUGAAAAUCAAUUAAAGAACUGUUUAUGCUAAGCUGUUUAGACUUUAUCAGCUAACUGUUUAGUUUUGAGCUUUUCUUUAAUGCGCUUUUCAGUUAACAAGUCAACAUCAAUUUCUUUUGCUGUAAAAAAGCUUGAGGAAGGUGGCUUGAGAUUCGUCUUAAGUGUUUAUAGCCUCUUGCCUAUGCAGUCGGAGAGAUUGAGGUCUGCAGCGUAGAUCCUUCGGGGCUAAAUGCAUUUGUGCUAAGUUAUGGCAUUUUAUAGACAACUUGUUGACUAUGAUUUGUCUUGUAGCUUACUCGCUUAUGUUAUUUUACCUACGCUUAGGAUGUUGACGCGCGUGUGUGCGUG
rnacentral:rRNA from 1 species